GACGAACGCUGGCGGCGUGCUUAACACAUGCAAGUCGAACGAUGAAGCUGGAGCUUGCUCCGGUGGAUUAGUGGCGAACGGGUGAGUAACACGUGAGCAAUCUGCCCUUGACUCUGGGAUAACUGCGGGAAACUGUAGCUAAUACCGGAUACGGGACCUGAAGGCAUCUUCGGGUCUGGAAAGAAUUUCGGUCAAGGAUGAGCUCGCGGCCUAUCAGCUUGUUGGUGAGGUAAUGGCUCACCAAGGCGACGACGGGUAGCCGGCCUGAGAGGGUGACCGGCCACACUGGGACUGAGACACGGCCCAGACUCCUACGGGAGGCAGCAGUGGGGAAUAUCGCACAAUGGGCGAAAGCCUGAUGCAGCAACGCCGCGUGAGGGAUGAAGGCCUUCGGGUUGUAAACCUCUUUUAGCAGGGAAGAAGCGAAAGUGACGGUACCUGCAGAAAAAGCACCGGCUAACUACGUGCCAGCAGCCGCCGUAA
rnacentral:rRNA from 1 species